UGCUCCUAGUACGAGAGGACCGGAGUGGACGCAUCACUGGUGUUCGGGUUGUCAUGCCGAUGGCACUGCCCGGUAGCUAAAUGCGGAAGAGAUAAGUGCUGAAAGCAUCUAAGCACGAAACUUGCCCCGAGAUGAGUUCUCCCUGAGACUUUAAGUCUCCUGAAGGAACGUUGAAGACGACGACGUUGAUAGGCCGGGUGUGUAAGCGCAGCGAUGCGUUGAGCUAACCGGUACUAAUGAACCGUGAGGCUUAACCUUACAACGCCGAAG
rnacentral:rRNA from 1 species